rnacentral:misc_RNA from 1 species
AACAUUUGCAGAAAUAGGCAACCGGAUGCUUUACAUAAUUAUGAAAUCAGUUCGUAAACAAACAAAAGGCUGUGAUGAACAUUUCACUAAGCAUACCCUUAAUUAUUUAAUGAAAAUAGUUUGAAAUAUUCCAAUAUGUGCAUCAACAUUAGUCAAUGUCAAUUAAGAAUGACUAUUACUAGUAAUCCACAAUAUCCUUCAUUUUUGGAUCAGGAUAUAAAAAUUUUCAUCAGAAUUUUAGAGGAUGGAGAACCACAGUUCAAUGCUGAAAAAGCCACCCAUGUGGAAAAUGAGGAAAACAUAUUAGCAGUUUUAAGAUUCAAUCAUAGAAUUUCAUAAGACCUUCAGGCCACCAUGGAACUUUGAAGUA